GGUAACGGGUAACGGGGUGUUAGGGCACGACACUGGAGAGGGAGCCUGAGAAACGGCUACCACAUCCAAGGAAGGCAGCAGGCGCGCAAAUUACCCAAUCCCGACAUGGGGAGGUAGUGACAAUAAAUAACAAUACAGGGUUCUUUUGGAUCUUGUAAUUGGAAUGAGUACAAUUUAAAUCUCUUAACGAGGAACAAUUGGAGGGCAAGUCUGGUGCCAGCAGCCGCGGUAAUUCCAGCUCCAAUAGCGUAUAUUAAAGUUGUUGCAGUUAAAAAGCUCGUAGUUGAAUUUCGGGAUCAAGGGAUCGGUCAUGCCUUGGUACGUACUGGUUUUAUUGGUUCUCACCUUCUAAAGAACCAUAAUGUCAUUUAUUUGAUGUUAUGGGGAAUUAGGACUGUUACCUUGAAAAAAUUAGAGUGUUUAAAGCAAGCUUACGCUUGAAUACAUUAGCAUGGAAUAAUGAAAUAGGACAUCAGAUUCUAUUUUGUUGGUUUCUAGGAUCGAUGUAAUGAUUAAUAGGGAUAGUUGGGGGCAUUAGUAUUCAAUUGUCAGAGGUGAAAUUCUUGGAUUUAUUGAAGACUAACUACUGCGAAAGCAUUUGCCAAGGAUGUUUUCAUUAAUCAAGAACGAAAGUUAGGGGAUCGAAGACGAUCAGAUACCGUCGUAGUCUUAACCAUAAACUAUGCCGACUAGGGAUCGGAUGAUGUUA
rnacentral:rRNA from 1 species